GACGAACGCUGGCGGCGUGCUUAACACAUGCAAGUCGAACGAAGUGGCGAACGGGUGAGUAACGCGUAAUCAACCUGCCCUUCAGCGGGGGACGACAGUUGGAACCGACUGCUAAUACCGCAUGCUGAAGGAGGUGAUUGCGUCUGCUUAGCUAGUUGGGGGGGUAACGGCCCACCAAGGCGAUGAUCAGUAGCCGGGUGGAGAGGAUGAACGGCAACAUUGGGACUGGGACACGGGUCAGAAUCCUACGGGAGGCAGCAGGGGGGAAUCUUCCGCAAUGGACGAAAGUCUGACGGAGCAACGCCGCGGGAGUGAUGACGGCCUUCGGGUUGUAAAGCUCUUUUAAUCGGGACACGGUACCGGAAUAGAAAGCCACGGCUAACUACGUGCCAGCAGCCGCGGUAAUUC
rnacentral:rRNA from 1 species